GCGUGAGUGAUGAAGGCCUUCGGGUCGUAAAGCUCUUUUACCAGGGAUGAUAAUGACAGUACCGGGAGAAUAAGCCCCGGCUAACUCCGUGCCAGCAGCCGCGGUAAUACGGAGGGGGCUAGCGUUGUUCGGAAUUACUGGGCGUAAAGCGCGCGUAGGCGGCUUUGUAAGUUAGAGGUGAAAGCCCGGAGCUCAACUCCGGAACUGCCUUUAAGACUGCAUCGCUAGAACGAUGGAGAGGUAAGUGGAAUUCCGAGUGUAGAGGUGAAAUUCGU
rnacentral:rRNA from 1 species